rnacentral:lncRNA from 1 species
CAAUUCUCCUGCCUCAGCCCUCCAAGUAGCUGGGACUACAGCCAAGUUCUGCAACUUGACUCUGAGAGCCUGCUGUCUCCACUGAAUUUGAUUAUGUGCUAUCAGGAGAAUCCAUCUACUGCCUGCAGCUGUCGAGCUCCUCUCCUGGGUUGUUCACGACUCCCCAGAAGACCCCAGAAAGAAAAUGGCACAACACUCGAUCCUGCCAGACACCCAGGAAGAUUUCAGGUCCUGUAGUGUGUGCUUUCAAGACCUGGGGACUAAAGGCUGAUCCAGCUCUUGGAAUAAGGCCUUGUCCUGAGUUCAGCAUCCUGAGGACAUCCACAUGAAUGAGGGAGGUCUGUAACUCACAUCCUCAGAUUCAGUCAUGCAUGACUGAAUGUUCUGAGUAAGCACACACACACACGCACUCUCUCAUGCAUGUACACACUCAACACAUUCACGAACAUACUCUAUUAUAACUUCUAUCUCAUUACAUCAGUUUAAACAUAUUCCUUUCUCCACUAUGAGAUUGAGCUCUCCUGGAUGGCAGGUAGUACAUAUUGUUCAUCUCUAGUUCUCCGGGACCUAUACAAAGGCUUAUAGAUGAAGUGCCAAGAACACUUAUGAAUGGAUAAAUGUUUGUGAAUAAAUAAUGUCAGCUCCACUAAUAUAUAUAUACAUUGUACUCUCUCUAGUGAAACUUUAAGUCAUGCCCUGAAUAUAUCAUAUUCUCAAAAACCUCCUUGCCUUUUUAAAUGCUAUUCCUUGCCUUUUUAAAUGCUAUUCCUUGCCUUUUUAAAUGCUAUUCCCAUUCUUUUCUACACAGUGCAUCUCUGUAUAGAGAAGUGAGGCCUAGCUCAAAUGAUAGUUCCUCUUUGAAGUCUUUGUCAACAACUUCAGGAUGAAUUAACUGCUCUAAAUACUAAUUGCAGACACUGCUGUUUUUCUGAUUUACCUCAAAAUCCUCAGCAUUAGUACAAUACUUGGCCUUAAAGAGGAGCUCAACGUAUUUUGUUAAAUGACUAAGUUGACUUAUGAGUGAA